rnacentral:rRNA from 1 species
GAUGAACGCUGGCGGCGUGCCUAAUACAUGCCAGUCGAGCGAACAGAUAAGGAGCUUGCUCCUUUGACGUUAGCGGCGGACGGGUGAGUAACACGUGGGUAACCUACCUAUAAGACUGGGAUAACUUCGGGAAACCGGAGCUAAUACCGGAUAAUAUUUCGAACCGCAUGGUUCGAUAGUGAAAGAUGGCUUUGCUAUCACUUAUAGAUGGACCCGCGCCGUAUUAGCUAGUUGGUAAGGUAACGGCUUACCAAGGCGACGAUACGUAGCCGACCUGAGAGGGUGAUCGGCCACACUGGAACUGAGACACGGUCCAGACUCCUACGGGAGGCAGCAGUAGGGAAUCUUCCGCAAUGGGCGAAAGCCUGACGGAGCAACGCCGCGUGAGUGAUGAAGGUCUUCGGAUCGUAAAACUCUGUUAUUAGGGAAGAACAUACGUGUAAGUAACUGUGCACGUCUUGACGGUACCUAAUCAGAAAGCCACGGCUAACUACGUG